CCCAGGGCGUUGCCCCGGGCUGAAUUGAGUCGGCCUUUCAGGCCU
rfam:Bacteroidetes bacterium RIFOXYA12_FTLL_38_20 rifixya3_full_scaffold_13, whole genome shotgun sequence.